UGGGUAUGACGUCACGAGCAAAACAAGGAGGACCACAAGCGAUUGUUUAGAAGCUAACUGGGUUGAACGCUUAAUGCUGCUCAUUUGCUAAGCUUAAAAUCGGUCACUCAAGGAAUUCAUGAACACAAGUGUAAAUAGAUCAACACGUGAGGCUUGACUAUGGUUCCCAUAAUUAGUUGUUGUGUAAUGUUACGGUUUGUUGACGUUUUUACGCAGUUACCGUUCGAUAGCAUACGAAUGCUACCGUUAAGCUAACUAGUCACAUUAGCUGGCUGGGUAACAAUCUGAAUUUAGCAUUAAGGCACUUUGUAUCAAUAAAUAGCUCGUUGGGCAUCGUUAGCCCAGCCUUUUAACGUUCAUAAUGGAAUUAAUAUCUGUUCAUUAAGUUAGCCUGAAACACCCACACCAAGGAGUUAAUGUAAAGCAAUGGUGUUACGUUAAAGCGUAAACAACCCGUGGUGGUAUUCUCCGAGAAGAAAUAUUAUAUACGUGUCUAUUUUUCUCACAAACACGCGGGACUCAGUUAUAAGACACGAGACCCUGACAGUCAAUCAUGUCGGACCUGGAAACCCUCAUUGUAACUUUCCAGACCCAGCUGUCGGAUGUAAUGGAGACCGUAGUAAAGACAGCCAUGUACGAGGUCACGAAGUUGGUCGAGGAGGGCUUCUUGGAGGAGAUGCAGUGCAGGAACCGGGAGGUGGAGUCCCUGAGGAUGCAGUUGCGAUGGGCUGAGACCAAAUUAAGUGACCAAGGGGUGAAAGGGAGGAAAGCUGGGAGGUGUACCGACUGUUCAAAGGAUGAUUUAGAGCUGUCCAGUAAUACUGAAGAAGAAAGGCCCACAGAACAGCAAGAUGACAUCUUUGGGGGCUGUGGUGUAAAAGAAGAAGAUGACUCCGUAGAAAGGUGGUCAAUAAGCUGCACACAGGAGGUCAUACCAGAGUCAACACAGGCAGAAGACCCUCCUACAUCCACUUUCAGUCCUGCGAUGAAGUCACUGACGACAGAAGAGGAUUAUUUGUUGCCAGCGGUGGAUGUGAAAGAUGAAAAUUCAAAUAAGCCAUCUGGUUUUUCUCUGCAUUGGAGUGGUCCUCUUAAUGGUGAAGCAGAACUUGAAUCCCACAGCGCCACUGAGAAGACAGAGGCACAACCAAAACAGCCCCAAGAGAACAGUGAGAAACUAUUGAGGGAUGUUAUUAAGCAAGACCCACAGGUGUCUGCUGCAUACGUCUUCCUUGAAGACCAUGAGGACACGCACAUGACCACAGAUCCAGCUUUAGUGGAGGACAGUGGUUGGGCUAGCAUGACUGUCACAGCAGCUGGUUUACUGCAGAAUCACAGACUUGCAACCGAACAGGACUGUGAUCCAGUCCAAACUAGAGGACCUCUAAAUCAAACAGAACACGAGCUGUCCGACUGCGUCACAGCACAUGUUGAUGUUCUGGUUACCCCAAAUGGAGACCAGAUUUCAUCCUCAGUGUCCCCUAUGUCAAGACUCCAAAACAGUGAUGCGUUGGGUGUGUCUAUCAAGCAGGAGUUAAUUAUCGAUUCGGAUGGGUGUGUGGAAAGCGAGCCUAACAAAAAGAAAAUGACAAAGUCUAGGAUGGCAUCUUUUUCAUGCUCAGUAAAACAGCACAGAGGGAGUUCAGAAGCACUGAAGCAGAACCGCAUAUCCCACAAAAACACUGUGCAGGAGGUUAUGAAGCUACAUUCCAAAGUGGGUACAGGCCUCAGAUUGCAAGCUGCUAUACAGCACCUCCACAGGCCGAUGAAAAAGGCCUCUCACACAUACUCAAACAGUGGUAACGCAGCACUGUCUAUAGCUCACUCUCAUGUUGCAAACUUAAAUUCCCUCACCAGAACUUCCAUCCACAUCUGAAGCGUCCUCCUCCUCCACUCUCAGUCCAGCGAGUUCACCUGAACGACAAAAUGUCCGCAGCACAUAAUCGAACUGGUGGCCCGUGGGUCAACAUCAAAACACACCCGUCUGCAAACUCCCUUUGCAGCAACCCCUUACCCCAUCCGGACUCUCACCCUCAUGCUGGCCCCAGGCACCUCCUGCGCUGCGGCCAGUGUGGGAAGUGCUUUCCCCACCCCAGCAACCUGAAGGCCCACUUGCUAACUCACACAGGUGAGCGGCCUUUCUGCUGCGCCCUCUGUGGUCGCAGCUUCACCAAGCUGAGCAACCUCAAGGCCCACCGACGGGUGCACACAGGAGAGAGACCGUACUGCUGCGUGGCCUGUGGCAAACGCUUCACCCAGAAAUGUAACCUGAAGCGCCACCAGAGAAUCCACCUGGAUGAAUGAUGAUGGAGAGCAAGUGAUGUAAGGACAAGUGUGGUGUGUUUCUCUUGGAUUAAGAUGCUGCAGUGUUUCUAUUGCAAUGUUUAAAAUUGGAAAAAAUCCUUCUUGUGUACUCGUCUCUUGAGUGAUUGUACCAAGUUGUCAUGUGCAUUCCAGAAAGAUUGAUCUAGUAACUUGUUGUAGUGUUAUUAAAGGAUGAAAGGCAGUGUGUUGUGAGUCAUGCAGAGAUAGGUAAAUUGUCAAUAAAUAUUUAUUCUGUGAAUUCAAGUCCAACAAAUGAUUCCACUCAAUUGUGCCUUGUUUUUGAGCACAAUUGACACACUUACUGUAUAACUGACCAUGGAUCAGAGCCCGUAUUUAUUAAUCUGCUCUUCAUUUUUAUUUAAGCUCACAAACUUAAAUAAAAGUUAUUCAUCAAAUUACUUUUGUCCUGAAAAUACUUUUAUGAAAUGUAAUCGAGCUGCAGAGGCCUCUAAACCUGGUUUAGAGUAGAUCUUAGAUGGCUGCGUUACAGAAACGGGUGAGCACACACCUAAGACAUAUCCACAUUGGCCCUGACCGAUGAUGGAUAAUACGUUAGUGAACGGCAAGAGU
rnacentral:lncRNA from 1 species